GGACUGAAUCAUGGUGGGGAAUUAAUGUGAAAUUCAUUAGCUGUUCCUGCAACGGUUAAAGUCCGAGUGCCACCCAGUAA
ncrna:unclassified sequences AdoCbl variant RNA